rnacentral:lncRNA from 1 species
UCUCAGUUGCCCAUUUUGGCUUAAUUCAACAAUUUUGUAAAAGUAUAUGUCCUCUUCCCUUAGAGCCGUGGACCUCAGGCUGGCCACAGAGAAGUUCACAGCUCCAUUAGGCCCUUCCCAUCAACGCCUUUCUCUAGACUGUGCUUGGUAAUUGCUUGUCCUGGGAGAGCCUUCAGCUGUCCUGGGCAGAGUUGGAGCAGGAGAUCGCCCACAGCUGUAGGAUGUUCUACCUUCCCCUGGUCCUGCUUGUUCCUUUCUUUUGAAGGGACAUGUACACACCCCCACCUAUGGGUUGACCACAAUUGGAGAGAUACAGAUGGAGAACUCUCGUGGGUUAUAAAGAUUCUGAGGAAUGGAACAUAUCACGUGCUGACUGCUUACUGCUGUCGGGGCCUAGCAUAAAACAAGACGUCAACACAUCCUCUUCAUGUCUGCUGAAUUCCUUUCAAUGCACGACAUAAACAGAAAUGAACUUGAGAAGUUGGAAUAAAUGCAGACAAAGCAG